rnacentral:rRNA from 1 species
UACGGAGGGUGCAAGCGUUAUCCGGAUUCACUGGGUUUAAAGGGUGCGUAGGUGGGUUGGUAAGUCAGUGGUGAAAUCUCCGUGCUUAACAUGGAACUGCCAUUGAUACUACUGAUCUUGAAUUUUCAGGAGGUAAGCGGAAUAUGUCAUGUAGCGGUGAAAUGCUUAGAUAUGACAUAGAACACCAAUUGCGAAGGCAGCUUACUACAGGAAUAUUGACACUGAUGCACGAAAGCCGUGGGGAUCAAACAGG